rnacentral:ncRNA from 1 species
GGGAGCCGUGUGAGUCGCGAGGUUCACGCACGGUUCUGAGAGCGGCGGUGGGUGAAAUUCCCGCCGCCGACUCACC